rnacentral:rRNA from 1 species
UACGUAGGUGGCAAGCGUUGUCCGGAUUUACUGGGCGUAAAGCGCACGUAGGCGGAUCGAUCAGUCAGGGGUGAAAUCCCAGAGCUCAACCCUGGAACUGCCUUUGAUACUGUCGAUCUGGAGUAUGGAAGAGGUGAGUGGAAUUCCGAGUGUAGAGGUGAAAUUCGUAGAUAUUCGGAGGAACACCAGUGGCGAAGGCGGCUCACUGGUCCAUUACUGACGCUGAGGUGCGAAAGCGUGGGGAGCAAACAGG